rnacentral:rRNA from 1 species
GACGAACGCUGGCGGCGUGCUUAACACAUGCAAGUCGAACGGUGAAAGCGGAGCUUGCUCCGCUGGAUCAGUGGCGAACGGGUGAGUAACACGUGGGCAACCUGCCCCUCACUUCGGGAUAACUCCGGGGAACCGGGGCGAAUACCGGAUAUGACCUCCUUGGGCAUCCUUGGAGGUGGAAAGUUUUUCGGUGAGGGAUGGGCGCGCGGCCUAUCGGCUUGUUGGUGAGGUAGUGGCUCACCAAGGCGACGACGGGUAGCCGGCCUGAGAGGGCGACCGGCCACACGGGGACUGAGACACGGCCCAGACUCCUACGGGAGGCAGCAGUGGGGAAUAUUGCGCAAUGGGCGAAAGCCUGACGCAGCAACGCCGCGUGCGGGAUGACGGCCUUCGGGUUGUAAACCGCUUUCAGCAGGGAAGAAGCCGCAAGGUGACGGUACCUGCAGAAGAAGCACCGGCUAACUACGUGCCAGCAGCCGCGGUAA